rnacentral:rRNA from 1 species
CGCUAUCACUCCUACGGGAGGCAGCAGUAGGGAAUCUUCCACAAUGGGCGCAAGCCUGAUGGAGCAACACCGCGUGAGUGAAGAAGGGUUUCGGCUCGUAAAGCUCUGUUGUUAAAGAAGAACACGUAUGAGAGUAACUGUUCAUACGUUGACGGUAUUUAACCAGAAAGUCACGGCUAACUACGUGCCAGCAGCCGCGGUAAUACGUAGGUGGCAAGCAUUAUCCGGAUUUAUUGGGCGUAAAGAGAGUGCAGGCGGUUUUCUAAGUCUGAUGUGAAAGCCUUCGGCUUAACCGGAGAAGUGCAUCGGAAACUGGAUAACUUGAGUGCAGAAGAGGGUAGUGGAACUCCAUGUGUAGCGGUGGAAUGCGUAGAUAUAUGGAAGAACACCAGUGGCGAAGGCGGCUACCUGGUCUGCAACUGACGCUGAGACUCGAAAGCAUGGGUAGCGAACAGGAUUAGAUACCCUGGUAG